CUCAGACCGCGUUGAGCACGCUGAGGAGAGGUGGAAAAAAUCACAGAACGAAAACAUUUCUCAUUGUUGUACUCUCUCUCUACUCCAUCCAGCAUCUGCAUGCUCCAUGUUAAUAAACCCUCCAUCAGCAGCAGUUCCCGUGAUCCGUCUCUUCAUUUAUAACACAACGCAGACCGCAACAGUGACAGUGUGGGGCCG